AAUGAAGAGCAUUUUUUUUUAUUUUUUAUGUCAGAAUAUUGGCCAUAUUUUCUAUGCCUUUUUGAGUAAUUAGAUAUGUUAUAUUAAAGCUCUAGAUGACCUUCUCAGCACUUCCUUUUUGCUGGUUCUAUAUAUAUAUAAAUGCUACACUUUACCCAUCAAAUAAAAGUUUACAGCUUUUGAUGACUAUUUUGUAUUUGAGUUAUUCUCUUAAGGAAAGAAUGGAUGAUUUCCUGAAAGGCGAAGUUCAGCAGACGAUAGCUUAUGUUUGGCUAAGUUUAAUGUAUUUGAGAAAAGAGAGAGACAUAAGAUGCUUUGAAGGUAGAAAACAUAAGUUCAACAUCUAAUAUAUCCUGCGCUAUUUUUGUACUCUAUCACUACAAAAAAAUGGGUAAUUUACGGAGGUUGAAAUUUGCAAUUUGUGGGGGUUUUAGCCUGCGCUCAUUGUUUAAGAGGCUAAAACCCCUGCGAAUUGCAACUUUCAACCUCCACAAAUUACCCUUUUUUUGUAGUAUCUUGGUGUGAAUCAUUGAAUAUAAGUAACAUAGAGUGAAUUGGUAUGCCUUUGGUCUUUUGUCCCAUACUGAACAUUUUAGUUGAACAACACUGCUAAAAUAUUUGGUCUCUGUCUGAUUAGUAUAUAGGAAAACACAUUGACUUGCUUACUUGGAAACAAAAGCCUGACAUGUACAAACUUUUUCAUUGCACAUGAAGAGUUGGUGUUUCACAACUGACAGAAAAUCACUAGUAUGAUUACCAGGCAAAAAAAGUGAUGUAGUGUGUGCUGAAACCUGCCAAUGAUGGCGUUCUUGUAUCUCUGGUAUGAAUUGUUUCAUCAUGAAAUGAAUGAUUUAAUACUUAUAACUGACACUCCAACUGUCAUCCUCUAUUAUUGAAUGGCUGCUCUAAAGCACCCCUCUCAAACAGAAAAUGAAAUUUCUAAAUUUAUUAGGUUGGGCCCGUGUUGGCAGGGGCUAUUGCCGCCUAGCCUGAAGGAAAAGACAGUCACUUCUCUUUUGUAGCUUUGGAUAUUAUUUCUGAAGUCGACAGUAGAGGAUUCUUGGACUCAGAUGCGAACACACAUUUGCUCGCUGAAAAGGAAAAACUUCAGGAGCAAAACGUCGCCUCAGUAUCAAAAGCAUCUUGCUCAGAGAAGGCUUCUUCAUUGCAUGAGCAGCUGACUGGGAAAUUUUCAAUUUCCUAUGGAUGCAGCUUAACUCAGACUAUCUUCAAUGGAUUUUUGCGAGUUUCCAUAAACAAAGGAAAAAAAAAAAAAUCAAAAAGCGUAGAAGCGCCUCUGGUGAACUUUCUGCUAUUACAGUCAUGACUUUUGAGCAUUUUGGAUUUCUUAAGGGAUGGAGUCAAUCUUCUGCUCUUUGCAUCUAAGGACUUCUUAAGAAUGGGCCUUUAGUUAUAAAAACCAUGAAGGAUUGAUGGGAACUUACUCAGUGACCCGGUAUAUAGGAGCACAUCAUAAGAAAGUACGAUUCUCAUCAAGCGGCAUCUAAGUCAUGAAGCAUUUGGCUAUUUAGGUCCAUUACUGAGCGACAAUUGUACCAGUGAUGCUUGUUUUUUAUGAUUCCGACAACUUGGAAGCAUGCUCACUGCUGCAUAGCAGUUUUACAAAGCUAAAGAAGAUGUAAUGUAUAAAAACAGUUUUCAAUGUUCUUAUGCUAUUUCCCAUACUUUAUUAUGAUAUUAUAGUUGCUCUAUUUAGUAUUUGCAACUCCUUUAGGAUUUCAAUGAUGCAAUAUAUACGAAAAUGCAUUUGGUAGUUGCACCAUAGGAAUCUAGAGAUGCAUCACAAUUCAAAUUGUUUGGCCCGUCUAUAUCUGCUGAUUUGAUAAUAACUUACAUGGAUCAAUUCCCCGUAUCUGCAAUUUAAUUUUAAACAAAGGUUGACCAAGAAUUACAGUUCCAACUUCCAUAAUAUUGGCACGGGCCAUCACUCCCUAGUACUGGUACAGAAUUUCCUCAGUUAAAAUAAGAGUAAAGAUUAGUUUUGAACAUAUUCCAGACGGCAGCAUUUGAUAGUUAUACAACUAUUCCACAAUCUCACCUGACUUUCAACAAAUUA